rnacentral:rRNA from 1 species
UACGUAAGGGGCAAGCGUUAUCCGGAUUUACUGGGUGUAAAGGGAGCGUAGACGGUGAGGCAAGUCUGAUGUGAAAACCCGGGGCUCAACUCCGGGAUUGCAUUGGAAACUGUCUGACUUGAGUACUGGAGGGGUAAGCGGAAUUCCUGGUGUAGCGGUGAAAUGCGUAGAUAUCAGGAGGAACACCGGUGGCGAAGGCGGCUUACUGGACAGUAACUGACGUUGAGGCUCGAAAGCGUGGGGAGCAAACAGGAUUAGAUACCCCUGUAGUCCCUGAG